rnacentral:rRNA from 1 species
AGAGUUUGAUCAUGGCUCAGGAUGAACGCUGGCGCCGUGCCUAACACAUGCAAGUCGAACGAGGUUCUUCGGAACCUAGUGGCGAACGGGUGAGUAACGCGUGGAUAACCUGCCUCAUACAGGGGGAUAACAGUUAGAAAUGACUGCUAAUACCGCAUAAGCGCACGGGAACACAUGUUCCUGUGUGAAAAGCCGAGACGGUAUGAGAUGGAUCCGCGUCUGAUUAGCUAGUUGAUGAGGUAACGGCCCACCAAGGCGACGAUCAGUAGCCGACCUGAGAGGGUGACCGGCCACAUUGGGACUGAGACACGGCCCAAACUCCUACGGGAGGCAGCAGUGGGGAAUAUUGCACAAUGGGGGAAACCCUGAUGCAGCGACGCCGCGUGAGUGAAGAAGUAUUUCGGUAUGUAAAGCUCUAUCAGCAGGGAAGAGAAUGACGGUACCUGACUAAGAAGCCCCGG